rnacentral:rRNA from 1 species
AUUGAACGCUGGCGGCAGGCCUAACACAUGCAAGUCGAGCGAGCGGCGGACGGGUGAGUAAUGUAUGGGGACCUGCCUGAUCGAGGGGGAUAACUACUGGAAACGGUGGCUAAUAACGCAUACUAUCGGAUGUACCCAUAUGGGAUUAGCUAGUAGGUGGGGGAAAGGCUCACCUAGGCGACGAUCUCUAGCUGGUCUGAGAGGCUGACCAGCCACACUGGGACUGAGACACGGCCCAGACUCCUACGGGAGGCAGCAGUGGGGAAUAUUGCACAAUGGGCGCAAGCCUGAUGCAGCCAUGCCGCGUGUGUGAAGAAGGCCUUCGGGUUGUAAAGUACUUUCAGCGGGGAGGCGUUACCCGCAGAAGAAGCACCGGCUAACUCCGUGCCAGCAGCCGCGGUAAUAC